UACGUAGGGUGCAAGCGUUGUCCGGAAUUAUUGGGCAUAAAGAGCUCGUAGGCGGUUCGUCGCGUCGGCUGUGAAAUCCCGAGGCUCAACCUCGGGUCUGCAGUCGAUACGGGCGGACUGGAGUUCGGCAGGGGAGACUGGAAUUCCUGGUGUAGCGGUGAAAUGCGCAGAUAUCAGGAGGAACACCGGUGGCGAAGGCGGGUCUCUGGGCCGAUACUGACGCUGAGGAGCGAAAGCGUGGGGAGCGAACAGG
rnacentral:rRNA from 1 species